rnacentral:sRNA from 1 species
CAAAAAAAAAAAAAAAAAAAAAACUAAGGUUGACUAUGUAUAGUAUUCUUAAUGCUUUUGGUGUUAGCUGGGAAGGCUGAAUGUGCUUAUAUUCUGGUUUCAGACAGAGGACCCCAGUAAGUGCAGUCCUCGGUUUUGGGAGGAGCUCUUUCUCAUGAAGGUGAAUUUAGAGUACCUAGAAGGCAAGCUGGAAUCUCUUGAUGGUGAGGAGUUAAUGAAGAUCAAGGACAAUAUUAAUUGCUUAUUCCAACACUGCAUCCAGGCUCUGGGAGAGGAGCAUCCAAUUCGGGUUGUCAAUGCAUUGCAGGUACAAGGCUGGGAGACUGGGGAAGUCUUGUUUAACAGGAGAAAGGAAUUGUAACACAUCUGUUUGAACUGAGGAACCUAGAGUUGCUCUGAGACCCUGUGCGCACUCAUUCGAGGAGUCCAUCAAAAGAAUAAGUCUACCUCUGGGUUUGACAUUAUCAACAUGCUGAUGGGCUUUGACAAGGCGGAGCUGUGCAUGAAGGUGAGGCAUAAGCUGCAGAUGUGCCUGUGGAUGGCAGCUUCUGACAGCUGUUCCUGGACACUAUCAGCAGACAAAUGUACUCAAAGAUUUGGACUCAGAAAGAUACAGAUGAUUGAAUUUGGCCUUGCAUUUAGAUGUUUUUAUUUCACAGAUUUGCUUUAUCUGAAUAAAGGAAAAUUUUAAAUUCAAA